GAUGGAGAACGUAGCGAAAUGCGAUAAGUAAUGUGAAUUGCAGAAUUCAGUGAAUCAUCGAAUCUUUGAACGCACAUUGCGCCCGCCAGUAUUCUGGCGGGCAUGCCUGUUCGAGCGUCAUUUCAACCCUCAGGCCCCCAGUGCCUGGUGUUGGGGAUCGGCCCAGCCUUCCUGUAAGGCCGCCGGCCCCGAAAUCUAGUGGCGGUCUCGCUGUAGUCCUCCUCUGCGUAGUAGCACAACCUCGCAGUUGGAACGCGGCGGUGGCCAUGCCGUUAAACACCCCACUUCUGAAAGUUGACCUCGGAUCAGGUAGGAAUACCCGCUGAACUUAAGCAUAUCAAUAAGCGGAGGA
rnacentral:misc_RNA from 1 species